rnacentral:rRNA from 1 species
GAUGAACGCUGGCGGCGUGCCUAAUACAUGCAAGUCGAGCGAACAGACGAGGAGCUUGCUCCUCUGACGUUAGCGGCGGACGGGUGAGUAACACGUGGAUAACCUACCUAUAAGACUGGGAUAACUUCGGGAAACCGGAGCUAAUACCGGAUAAUAUAUUGAACCGCAUGGUUCAAUAGUGAAAGACGGUUUUGCUGUCACUUAUAGAUGGAUCCGCGCCGCAUUAGCUAGUUGGUAAGGUAACGGCUUACCAAGGCAACGAUGCGUGGCCGACCUGAGAGGGUGAUCGGCCACACUGGAACUGAGACACGGUCCAGACUCCUACGGGAGGCAGCAGUAGGGAAUCUUCCGCAAAGGGCGAAAGCUUGACGGAGCAACGCCGCGUGAGUGAUGAAGGUCUUCGGAUCGUAAAACUCUGUUAUUAGGGAAGAACAAAUGUGUAAGUAACUAUGCACGUCUUGACGGUACCUAAUCAGAAAGCCACGGCUAACUACGUG